rnacentral:snRNA from 1 species
GUGCUCACUUCGGCAGCACAUAUACUAAAAAAUUGGGAGAUUAGCAUGGCUCCUGCCCAAGGAUGACCCGCAAAUUUGUGCCACGCUCCAUAUUUUU